UGCGUAGAGAGUUGGGGUGAUUGUUACCCUGGAUUUUCUGGACAAGGCUGUCUAUUCCAAUUGCUUUGACUUGCUUUCCUCUUUUUUUGGACCAGGAAUGAAACUACCUCGCGUUUGUCGGGCAGGCACUGAGCCUUAUCCUGGGCUCCAAUAACUUCACCUUGCCUAACAAGACUUGCGCUUCAGCAGUGUAUUCCUCGCUUUCCAGAGGCAGGGAAGAGCGCAGUGCAGCAGGAGCCAGUCAGCGCCUAGGAGGAAGGCUGUAGGAGCUGCGCGUUCUCCGCCUCAGACCCGCCUCACCACGCAGUGUGUCCUGUGGAGGGAUCAGUCCUCUGCCGGAAGAAAACACCAUGAGAGCAGGACAGGAUCCGUAACUCAGGAGUACAAGGGAGGUGGUGUUGUGAGGCCGGGUCAGUUUGAAAGGGAAAG